UCCUUAGAGACUCCACAGCCGCACCCCCUCUCACCCAUCUCUUCUGCCGCCGUUCUCAUUCACCCAAACCCGGCGAGUAAACUCACAUGGUCCCCUCCCCUCCCCCUCUUCCACGUCAUCAAGCCAUAACCAAUUUCUGACGAGAAUGUCCCAUCUCUCUUACGCGAUUCGUUUAGGGCGAGGUAGGAUAAAUGGUGAGCGUAGGAUUGAGUUUUGGCUCAAUCUACUCCCUCCAUUUGUCCUCUACUUGUUUUAACAAACGAAUUUUGAGAUUUUUGGAGAGGAGGAAUUUCGAUUUUCUUGGAGGGCAAGGAGAGAAGCUUCUAGAGCAGCUAUAUAAUCCAAGAUCUCGGAUAGAAAGGAAUGGGGACGAAAAUCAGAGAGAAAAUUGGAGAGUGAAAUUGUUUUAUAAAAGGGAUUCUAGGGUUCUUGGGGUUGAUUUUUUUGAUCUUCAUCCUCUCCAUUUUAUUUAAAUUCCAAAAAAAACGAAAAAUACAAAAAUAAAAAAGAAAUAGUUUGAGUUUAGUUCUUUAUUUGAGUUUUGUUUCCUCUUCAAGUCAGAAAACACAAAAGAAAGUACAAAAACAUCUCUGCUUCUUCACUUUUUUAAUUUCGGAUUUCUAUUGCAAAAAUGGAGUUCGAUUGAAUCGAGUUCGUCGCUAUUGUUGCUCACCGUUUGAGGUUUCCGGUUGGGUUUUUGCUGUUUCUGCUCGGAGGUUUUUGUCAAAUAUUAUGCUCGAGAUUUAUUCAUUGCUCAAUUUUGUUCGAUUCAGUUGCCGUAGUUGCUGAAAUCUUAUUAAUCGGAAAGCUAAUUUCAGGUCCUUCAGUAUUCAGUCAGCUCAGUAUUCAGUCAAUGCAGUAGUCAUUCAGUUCAAUAUUUCAGUAGUUCAGUAAUCAUGUAUUCAUUCAGUUUAGUAUGCAAGUAUUCAUGAAAGUUCAUAUUUCGACCAGACCCAUUUAAAGUCCAGAGUUAGCCGAAGUUACCGUUAGGACAAUCAUUCGAGAAGUGGGGAAAUAACAUAACACUUUCUAAGUUCGAAUUAGGUGUGAGCAUGUUAAAUGAGUAUUAAUGUGAUAUCUCAAAAAUGCACCAGGACUUGGCAUUCUCCUGAAAAGAUCACAUGUGCAUUCUUUUACUGCAUUCUGUGACUUAGAUUGGGUGCUUGCCCUGUCACUAACAUGAUAUAUACUUGAUAGUCAAACAUAAUUGAAUAAUUUGGAAUCUUAUUCUGAA